GGCGGCGUGCCUAAUACAUGCAAGUCGAGCGCGGGAAGCAAACUGAAUCCUUCGGGAGGACGUUUGUGGAACGAGCGGCGGACGGGUGAGUAACACGUGGGCAACCUGCCUGUAAGACUGGGAUAACUCCGGGAAACCGGGGCUAAUACCGGAUGACACUUCGUACCGCAUGGUACGGAGUUGAAAGAUGGUUUACGCUAUCACUUACAGAUGGGCCCGCGGCGCAUUAGCUAGUUGGUGGGGUAAUGGCUCACCAAGGCGACGAUGCGUAGCCGACCUGAGAGGGUGAUCGGCCACACUGGGACUGAGACACGGCCCAGACUCCUACGGGAGGCAGCAGUAGGGAAUCUUCCGCAAUGGACGCAAGUCUGACGGAGCAACGCCGCGUGAGUGAGGAAGGUCUUCGGAUCGUAAAACUCUGUUGUUAGGGAAGAACACGUACGAGAGUCACUGCUCGUACCUUGACGGUACCUAACCAGAAAGCCACGGCUAACUACGU
rnacentral:rRNA from 1 species